ACCUAGUUGAUCGGUGCUUUUAUCUUAUAUCUGUUGACCUGGUUGGUCGGUUGUUGCAUUAUGUAUUGGGUUGGUCUGUUUCUUGACUUCUGUCGUUCGAUGACCCUUGAGGUCGGUAUACCCUAAGGGGUGGGAUUGUCGGUUAGCACCGACGGAUGAUUAUAGUUUACUCAGCUCCACUGUUUGGUAUGUUUGUGACCUAGUCAGUCAGCUUCAUGAGUCCCGUCGUCGAUAACCUUUGAGGUCGGUAUACCCUGAGGGGUAGGAUUGUCGGCUGGUGCUGACGGUAGUUCUGGACUAUAUCGAAUACACUCCUGUGACCUAUCGGUCGGUUCUUGCGUUCGUACUUUUAGUUGACAUCGAGCAGUAUUUACAUACUAUCUUUAUUUACUCUGCCUAGUUGUUCUAUGUGUAGUAUCCUGUAUAGGGGUAGAGUAGAUGGCAUUCGUAUAUACUAUACUUGUGACCUGGUUGGUCGGUUCUCCUGUUUGCAUCGGUGACCUGUUUGGUCGUUCGUUACUUUCCGUAUAUUGACCUAUCUUGGUCGGUUCACGUUGUUACUUGAUGACCUACACGGUCGGUUAGCCCCGAGGGGCGGUGAUUGUCGGCUGAUUGCCGACGGUUGGCUAUUGAUCAUAUCUGCAUUGAUCGCCACAGCUCGAGUGCAUUUCACGUACACCAGCGGGUUGAUCCCCCGCAGGAGGGUGUUCUUUUCCGGAAAAGUGGUCGUACAUCCGACCCGUGAGCCCAGCGGUGUUCUCUUUGUGCUAGGGUUACUGCCAGGUGUGAGCAGGUAGUGGCUUUUGCCUGAGGUCCUUAGACCGACACGGCGGUUUAGAUUUGGUACUUUUGGACUUCUCGUCCGGUUGACGCAUAUAGCCAUAGUAGCGGUUGUUGCAUAUAUACUUCUAGUUCUUUCUUUACAAUUGUCUUGCUACUAUAGUUUUAAUAACCUUGUAUGCUUGCAGUUGUACAUUACAGUAGCGGUAGUUGUACUUUCUUUCAUAUAUAUGUCUCUUUCAUUCAUUAUUAUUGCUACUGUAUUUUCUACUGACCCGUACUGUUGUUUAGCUCUUCCUGAUCCGGUAAGUACUCCUCGCCUUCUUCGGCUUGCGGUACCCACUGGGAGGGGAGACAUGUUUACAUGUUCUCACCUCCCCCACCAUUUUUCAGGUAUCGCGGGCGAUGAGUAGUGGGACGAGACGUGAGGUACGCAUGUAGCGGUCGAUAGAGCUUUCGACCCAGGUUAAUUCGGUUUACUUUCUUACCCUUCUUAUUUUGGCUGAUGAAUAGUUUAGUUGGUUUAUGUGGUUCAGUGUUUAUUUACAUUUGAAAAUGUGGAUUUCUGGAUUUUGUAAA
rnacentral:lncRNA from 1 species